UAAACGGCCCUUUUCAGGGCCACAUAAAUUGUAAACACA
rfam:Trachymyrmex cornetzi contig27391, whole genome shotgun sequence.